UACGGAGGGUGCAAGCGUUGUUCGGAAUUAUUGGGCGUAAAGCGCGCGUAGGCGGGAUGUUAAGUCCGAUGUGAAAGCCCCCGGCUCAACUGGGGAAUGGCAUUGGAUACUGAUGUCCUUGAGUCCUGGAGAGGGCAGCGGAAUUCCCAGUGUAGAGGUGAAAUUCGUAGAUAUUGGGAGGAACACCGGUGGCGAAGGCGGCUGCCUGGACAGUGACUGACGCUCAGGCGCGAAAGCGUGGGUAGCAAACAGG
rnacentral:misc_RNA from 1 species